GAUAAGAUAUCUGAAAUAUUUAGGUUAUAAAUUGUAAAUUUAUAUAUGGUUAAUACCUCUUAUCA
rnacentral:tRNA from 1 species